rnacentral:rRNA from 1 species
UACGUAGGGUGCAAGCGUUGUCCGGAAUUAUUGGGCGUAAAGAGCUCGUAGGCGGUUUGUCGCGUCUGCUGUGAAAACUCGGGGCUUAACCCCGGGCCUGCAGUGGGUACGGGCAGACUAGAGUGCGGUAGGGGAGACUGGAAUUCCUGGUGUAGCGGUGAAAUGCGCAGAUAUCAGGAGGAACACCGGUGGCGAAGGCGGGUCUCUGGGCCGACACUGACGCUGAGGCGCGAAAGCUAGGGUAGCAAACGGG